GACGAACGCUGGCGGCGUGCCUAAUACAUGCAAGUAGAACGCUGAAGAGAGGAGCUUGCUCUUCUUGGAUGAGUUGCGAACGGGUGAGUAACGCGUAGGUAACCUGCCUUGUAGCGGGGGAUAACUAUUGGAAACGAUAGCUAAUACCGCAUAAAAAUGGUUGACACAUGUCAUUUAUUUGAAAGGGGCAAUUGCUCCACUACAAGAUGGACCUGCGUUGUAUUAGCUAGUAGGUGAGGUAAUGGCUCACCUAGGCGACGAUACAUAGCCGACCUGAGAGGGUGAUCGGCCACACUGGGACUGAGACACGGCCCAGACUCCUACGGGAGGCAGCAGUAGGGAAUCUUCGGCAAUGGGGGCAAGCCUGACCGAGCAACGCCGCGUGAGUGAAGAAGGUUUUCGGAUCGUAAAGCUCUGUUGUUAGUGAAGAACGGGUGUGAGAGUGGAAAGUUCACACUGUGACGGUAGCUUACCAGAAAGGGACGGCUAACUACGUG
rnacentral:rRNA from 1 species